AAUUAAUUGUAGAAUUAUUAAAGAAAGAUCUUUUAUAAGUAUAUCUAUUUCAUUUUAUAUUACAAGCCUUAUAUGGCGGCAUUUGAACGAGUUAGUGUAUUACAUGUGAAGCCAGAUGGUUUUCUGGAAAAAAUAGAUAUUAGAAGAACCCGGCUACCUUCGGUAACUCCUGCUGACGAUGGUUAUGAUCCACUGGAUCACAGGAAUCCUCAAACCCCCAUAAAACCAUGGAUGGCGUACUUCAACAUAGUGAGGUCUCUAUUUGG